GCCGAAUUCUGAAUUUCCUAAUUCUAUUACCCCCCAUUGGUAGAUUUAGGGUUAGUCAAAUCAAGGCAAGUCA